GACGAACGCUGGCGGCGUGCUUAACACAUGCAAGUCGAACGGAAAGGCCCUGCUUUUGUGGGGUGCUCGAGUGGCGAACGGGUGAGUAACACGUGAGUAACCUGCCCUUGACUUUGGGAUAACUUCAGGAAACUGGGGCUAAUACCGGAUAGGAGCUCCUGCUGCAUGGUGGGGGUUGGAAAGUUUCGGCGGUUGGGGAUGGACUCGCGGCUUAUCAGCUUGUUGGUGGGGUAGUGGCUUACCAAGGCUUUGACGGGUAGCCGGCCUGAGAGGGUGACCGGCCACAGUGGGACUGAGAUACGGCCCAGACUCCUACGGGAGGCAGCAGUGGGGAAUAUUGCACAAUGGGCGGAAGCCUGAUGCAGCAACGCCGCGUGCGGGAUGACGGCCUUCGGGUUGUAAACCGCUUUCGCCUGUGACGAAGCGUGAGUGACGGUAAUGGGUAAAGAGGCACCGGCUAACUACGUG
rnacentral:rRNA from 1 species